GACAGAGGUGCCAAGCGUUAGGCGGAAUCACUGGGCUUAAAGCGUGUGUAGGCGGGCGAGCAAGUCCCUUGUGAAAUCCCACGGCUCAACCGUGGAACUGCUGGGUAUACUGGUUGUCUUGAGCCAGCUAGGGGCGAGCGGAACAGACGGUGGAGCGGUGAAAUGCGUAGAUAUCGUCUGGAACGCCGAAGGUGAAAACAGCUCGCUGGGGCUGCGCUGACGCUGAGACACGAAAGCCAGGGGAGCGAACGGG
rnacentral:rRNA from 1 species